rnacentral:lncRNA from 1 species
UGGGACACGCGACCCAUGCGAUGUAAAACGGAGGGAUGAGCGAGCAAGAAAGCGGUGAACGGGGGAAUGGGUGCUACGAGCACGAUCCGAUCCCAGAUUGCAGCAGCACGAGCAACAGUCAGUACAACUACUCGCAGCUCAACGACUGGGAGACCUCGCCUGGUGAAUAUGGUCGGAGCUAUCGGGCGGCUAGUUUGGCGGUGCCGCGGAGCUCAUACGGGGACGAGAACCACCCCCGGUGUCCACCCCCGUCCGGUCCGGGCCUCCUCGACCUCUUCUACUCCGAGGCCAACCACUUCGAGCAGCCCUUCCGACGCCACUCCACAGCCGAUGUCUACCACUCACAGAGGACGCACACACACAAAAUCACCGCGAGCAGCCCCGGAAUGGAGAGGCUGCCUCAGCGGACGCCGCCAGAGGUGCCGGAGCGGAAGAAGCCGGGUCGGUGCCCCCGCAGCUGCCCCGGCCGGCCCUGAUCGAGCACAAAAUCCCGCCGCCCCCGCGGAAGUCGGCGCCGCCGAUCCAGCCGCGCGCCCGGGGUCAGGUCCCCCGCCCGACCCCGCUCGGGGCCUCCCAGGAGGAGGCGCCCAAGCCCACGGCGGCGCCUCCACCGGCCCAGGCCUUCUUCCCUCCGACGCCCACCGACGCCGGUCCCUCGGUCUUCAGCUCGAUGCAGUUCAAGAACUACGAGCUCCUCAACCGGAACCAGGUCUCCUUCAUCCCUUGUAA